rnacentral:rRNA from 1 species
UGAGGAAUAUUGGUCAAUGGACGGAAGCCUGAACCAGCCAAGUAGCGUGCAGGAUGACGGCCCUAUGGGUUGUAAACUGCUUUUGUAUGGGGAUAAAGUUAGGGACGUGUCCCUAUUUGCAGGUACCAUACGAAUAAGGACCGGCUAAUUCCGUGCCAGCAGCCGCGGUAAUACGGAGGAUGCGAGCGUUAUCCGGAUUUAUUGGGUUUAAAGGGUGCGUAGGUUGUUCGGUAAGUCAGCGGUGAAACCUGAGCGCUCAACGUUCAGCCUGCCGUUGAAACUGCCGGGCUUGAGUUCAGUGGCGGCAGGCGGAAUUCGUGGUGUAGCGGUGAAAUGCAUAGAUAUCACGAGGAACUCCGAUUGCGAAGGCAGCUUGCCAUACUGCGACUGACACUGAAGCACGAAGGCGUGGGUAUCAAACAGGAUUAGAUACCCUGGUAGUCCACGCAGUAACGAUGAUUACUAGGAGUUUGCGAUAUACCGUCAAGCUUCCACAGCGAAAGCGUUAAGUAAUCCACCUGGGGAGUACGCCGGCACGGU